rnacentral:rRNA from 1 species
CUCAUUAAAUCAGUUAUAGUUUAUUUGAUGGUUCCUUUUUUUUACUACUUGGAUAACCGUAGUAAUUCUAGAGCUAAUACAUGCCAAAAGUCUCGACUAGGGGUUUCGGCCCUUUGGAAGAGAUGUAUUUAUUAGAUAAAAAACCGAUGCAGGGUGGCUUGCUGCCCUGGACCCACCGGUGAUUCAUAAUAACUUUUCGAAUCGCACCAUG